rnacentral:misc_RNA from 1 species
CCUAAAGAUAUCCUGACUGUGCAGUGUCCACACAGAUUGUCUGAUGAAAUAGUAACGAGCAGAAAUACCUUUAUAGGCUUGUAGCUCAGGUGGUUAGAGCGCACCCCUGAUAAGGGUGAGGUCGGUGGUUCAAGUCCACUCAGGCCUACCAAAUUCUUCCUUAUGCUGCGUUAUGCUCCCGGUCGUUUACCGACGUAAAUUUCCCGGUCGCAUGCCUUGCCUAAGAAAGAAUUAACUCUUUGCGAGUUGGUAAUAACAAAGGUAUUGCACGCGAUUAUAUGGGGCUAUAGCUCAGCUGGGAGAGCGCCUGCCUUGCACGCAGGAGGUCAGCGGUUCGAUCCCGCUUAGCUCCACCAUAUAAGUCCGAAUAUCAAUACUUCAGAGUAUAUUGGCAACAGUAUGCUGCGAAGUAUUUUGCUCUUUAACAAUCUGGAACAAGCUGAAAAUUGAAACAUGACGGCUGAAACUUGUCCCUCCGUAGAAGUUUGGGAUAAGGAGUAACCUGUCAUAGAGUCUCUCAAAUGUUUGCAACGCGAAGUGAAACAUCUUCGGGUUGUGA